rnacentral:rRNA from 1 species
AAGGAUAAACGCGUGGCGGCGUGCUUAACACAUGCAAGUUGGACGGGAAGUACUCGAGGAAGAGACUUCGGUUAAUUUUUUGGGUAUGAGAGUAGCGGACGGGUGAGUAAUGCAUAAGAAUCUAUCCAUCAGAGGGGGACAACUGCGGGAAACCGGAGCUAAUACCCCGUAAGCCGGAAGGUGAAAGGGAGCAAUCCGCUGAUGGAGGAGCUUGUGUCCUAUCAGGUAGUUGGUGAGGUAAGAGCUUACCAAGACGAUGAUCAGUAGCCGAGCUGAGAGGCUGAUCGGCCACAUUGGGACUGAGACACGGCCCAG